rnacentral:rRNA from 1 species
GACGAACGCUGGCGGCGUGCCUAAUACAUGCAAGUCGAACGCUUCUUUCCUCCCGAGUGCUUGCACUCAAUUGGAAAGAGGAGUGGCGGACGGGUGAGUAACACGUGGGUAACCUACCCAUCAGAGGGGGAUAACACUUGGAAACAGGUGCUAAUACCGCAUAACAGUUUAUGCCGCAUGGCAUAAGAGUGAAAGGCGCUUUCGGGUGUCGCCGACGGAUGGACCCGCGGUGCAUUAGCUAGUUGGUGAGGUAACGGCUCUCCAAGUACACGAUGCAUAGCCGCCGUGGGAGGGGGAUCGGCCACCCGGGCACUGGGCCACGCCCCAGACUCCUACGGGAGGCAGCAGUAGGGAACUGUCAGCAAUGGACGAAAGUCUGACCGAGCAACGCCGCGUGCGUGAAGAAGGUGUUCGGAUCGUAAAACUCUGUUGUUAGAGAAGAACCAGGACGUUAGUAACUGAACGUCCCCUGACGGUACCUAACCAGAAAGCCACGGCUAACUACGUG